rnacentral:rRNA from 1 species
AGAAGCACCGGCCAACUACGUGCCAGCAGCCGCGGUAAUACGUAGGGUGCGAGCGUUGUCCGGAAUUAUUGGGCGUAAAGGGCUCGUAGGCGGUUUGUCGCGUCGGGAGUGAAAACGCCGUGCUUAACACGGCGCUUGCUUUCGAUACGGGCAGACUAGAGGUAUGCAGGGGAGAACGGAAUUCCUGGUGUAGCGGUGAAAUGCGCAGAUAUCAGGAGGAACACCGGUGGCGAAGGCGGUUCUCUGGGCAUUACCUGACGCUGAGGAGCGAAAGUGUGGGGAGCGAACAGGAUUAGAUACCCUGGUAGUCCACACCGUAAACGUUGGGCGCUAGGUGUGGGGUCCAUUCCACGGAUUCCGUGCCGCAGCUAACGCAUUAAGCGCCCCGCCUGGGGAGUACGGCCGCAA